GAAUAUCUUCGGGGUAGGGUGAAAUUCCCGACCGGUGGUAAGCAGUGCUGCUGCAAGCCCACGAGCCGCAAGGCAGACUUGGUGCGAUUCCAAGGCCGACAGUACAGUCUGGAUGAAAGAAGAUAUGA
rnacentral:ncRNA from 2 species